rnacentral:rRNA from 1 species
UACGAAGGCCCCGAGCGUUAUCCGGAAUCAUUGGGCGUAAAGCGUCUGUAGACCGCCUGUUAAGUUAAUGGUUAAAAACUAAUGCUCAACAUUAGAGCAGCUGUUAAAACUGGCAGGCUAGAGGGUGGGAGAGGUAAGCGGAAUUGCCGGUGUAGUAGUAAAAUGCGUUAAUAUCGGCAGGAACACCAAAUGCGAAAGCAGCUUACUGGAACACUCCUGACGUUGAGAGACGAAAGCGUGGGUAGCGAAAGGGAUUAGAUACCCCUGUAGUCCACGCCGUAAACGCUGGAUGCUAGGCAUUGGCAGUAUCGACCCUGCCAGUGUCGUUUAAUCAAGCUAACGCGUUAAGCAUCCCGCCUGGGGAGUACGGCCGCAAGGCUAAAACUCAAAGGAAUUGACGGGAACCCGCACAAGCGGUGGAGCACGUGGUUUAAUUCGACAGUAAGCGAGGAACCUUACCAAGGCUUGACAUACCUGGAAUCCCGUAGAAAUACGGGAGUGCCUUCGGGAAUCAGGUUACAGGUGCUGCAUGGUUGUCGUCAGCUCGUGUCGUGAGAUGUACGGUUAAGUCCGGUAACGAGCGCAACCCCUAUUCUGUGUUAAAUAUUCCGCAGAAGACUGCCAUCCUUAAGAUGGAGGAAGGUGGGGAUGACGUCAAAUCAGCAUGGCUCUUACGCCUUGGGCUACACACAUGCUACAAUGGCCGGUACAGAGGGUCGCCAAACCGCAAGGUGGAGCUAAUCCUGCAAAACCGGUCCAAGUUCGGAUUGAGGUCUGCAAUUCGACCUCAUGAAGUCGGAAUCGCUAGUAACCGUGAAUCAGCCAUGUCACGGUGAAUACGUUCUCGGGUUU